UACAGAGGUGCCAAGCGUUAGGCGGAAUCACUGGGCUUAAAGCGCGUGUAGGCGGGUCGUUAAGUGUCCGAGUGAAAUCCCACGGCUCAACCGUGGAACUGCCGGGCAUACUGGCGAUCUUGAGGCAUUUCAGGGGCGAGCGGGAAACAAAUGGUGGAGCGGUGAAAUGCGUAGAUAUCAUUUGGAACGCCAAUGGUGAAAACAGCUCGCUGGGGAAUGAAUCUGACGCUGAGAACGCGAAAGCCAGGGGAGCGAAACGGGGAUUAGAACCGUCUGUCAG
rnacentral:rRNA from 1 species